rnacentral:lncRNA from 1 species
AGGCUUAGGUUCAUAAUCACCCUUUAAUUAAUUAACGCUUUAACUAAUUAAACUUGAAUGCAACAUUUUUCAUUUGGUUUUUGUUUCCAUAGAAUUGAUUUAAAUGGAGCUAAAUGAAAAUGAAAAUCCAAUUCUCAUUUAAAGAGACAAAACCAAUUUUGUUCUCAACCUAAUUUGGGCCAAAAUGCAAUAACCUCAACCUUUUGGGCUAUGUUGCAAAACUUAAACUUUUGAGGGUCAUUUUGUAAAAACACAAAAGUACACUAAUUCAUGUAAUUACAACUAGAACCCAAAAAUUCAACAAAUUGAAAAACAUCAUUAAAGGAGCAAAACAAUUUGUCCUUUAAUGAUUUUGGGCCUUUACAUAAAUACGUAAACUUUUGGGUUAAACUACAAAUUACACAAAAGUACCAAAACUUUAUGUAAUUGCAUAAAAGCCCCAAAAGCACCCCACUUGUAGGGUGGCCGGUUUUAGAGAGAGUGAGGAAUGCAAAAUUUUGAAAUUUUUCAACAAAGUCAUAAAGCCAUGCAAGUGGUGUGUGUGACAUAAAUUCAUGCAAGUGGUGUGUGUGUAAGAGAAGUACUUCUUACACACCCAUCACCAUUUCUAUCACCUUUCAAAACUUCAAUCACAUUAAAACAUUUGAUAAAGCACAAAACAAAGAUUUCAUGAAAUAAAUCAAAACUUUGAAUCAAAACACCAAACUUUUAUGGGUUUUUCAUGAAAUAACAUAUAACCAAACUAGGGUACAUAGGGGUUCCAAAGUUACUUGAA